rnacentral:rRNA from 1 species
UAGGGAAUCUUCCACAAUGGACGAAAGUCUGAUAGGAGCAACGCCGCGUGAGUGAAGAAGGUUUCGGCUCGUAAACUCUGUUGUUAAAGAAGAACAUAUCUGAGAGUAACUGUUCAGGUAUUGACGGUAUUUAACCAGAAAGCCACGGCUAACUACGUGUCAG